AUUGAACGCUGGCGGCAGGCUUAACACAUGCAAGUCGAGCGGGGGAGAUUGCUUCGGUAAUUGACCUAGCGGCGGACGGGUGAGUAAUACUUAGGAAUCUGCCUAUUAAUGGGGGACAACAUCUCGAAAGGGAUGCUAAUACCGCAUACGCCCUACGGGGGAAAGCAGGGGAUCACUUGUGACCUUGCGUUAAUAGAUGAGCCUAAGUCGGAUUAGCUAGUUGGUGGGGUAAAGGCCUACCAAGGCGACGAUCUGCAGCGGGUCUGAGAGGAUGAUCCCCCACACUGGGACUGGGACACGGCCCAGACUCCUACGGGAGGCAGCAGUGGGGAAUAUUGGACAAUGGGGGGAACCCUGAUCCAGCCAUGCCGCGUGUGUGAAGAAGGCCUUAUGGUUGUAAAGCACUUUAAGCGAGGAGGAGGCUACCUGGAUUAAUACUCUAGGAUAGUGGACGUUACUCGCAGAAUAAGCACCGGCUAACUCUGUGCCAGCAGCCGCCGUAACAC
rnacentral:rRNA from 1 species